GAUGAACGCUGGCGGCGUGCCUAAUACAUGCAAGUAGAACGCUGAAGGAGGAGCUUGCUCUUCUGGAUGAGUUGCGAACGGGUGAGUAACGCGUAGGUAACCUGCCUUGUAGCGGGGGAUAACUAUUGGAAACUAUAGCUAAUACCGCAUGACAACAGUUAUUGCAUGAUAACUGUUUAAAAGUGGCAACUGCUCCACUACCAGAUGGACCUGCGUUGUAUUAGCUAGUUGGUGAGGUAAAGGCUCACCAAGGCGACGAUACAUAUCCGACCUGAGAGGGUGGUCGGCCACAAUGGGAAGGAGAAAAGGGCCAGAAUCCUACGGGAGGCAGCAGGAGGGAAACUUCGGAAAUAGACGGAAGGCAGAACGAGAAAAGCCGAGGGAGUGAAGAAGGUUGUCGGAUCGUAAAGCUCUGUUGUAAGAGAAGAAAGAGAGUGAGAGUGGAAAGUUCACACUGUGACGGUAUCUUACCAGAAAGGGACGGCUAACUACGUG
rnacentral:rRNA from 1 species